rnacentral:rRNA from 1 species
UCUUGCACAAUGGGCGAAAGCCUGAUGCAGCGACGCCGCGUGGGGGACGAAGGCCCUCGGGUUGUAAACCCCUUUCGGCAGGGAAGAAGCGAACGUGACGGUACCUGCAGAAGAAGCUCCGGCUAACUACGUGCCAGCAGCCGCGGUAAGACGUAGGGAGCGAGCGUUGUCCGGAUUCAUUGGGCGUAAAGCGCGCGUAGGCGGUUUGGCAAGUCGGAUGUGAAAUCCCGAGGCUCAACCUCGGGACUGCGUCCGAUACUGCCCGACUAGAGGUAGGUAGGGGAGAUCGGAAUUCCUGGUGUAGCGGUGAAAUGCGCAGAUAUCAGGAGGAACACCGGUGGCGAAGGCGGAUCUCUGGGCCUGACCUGACGCUGAGGCGCGAAAGCUAGGGGAGCGAACAGG